rnacentral:rRNA from 1 species
GACGAACGCUGGCGGCGUGCUUAACACAUGCAAGUCGAACGGAAAGGCCCUGCUCUUGUGGGGUGCUCGAGUGGCGAACGGGUGAGUAACACGUGAGUAACAUGCCCUUGACUUUGGGAUAACUUCAGGAAACUGGGGCUAAUACCGGAUAGGAGCUCCUGCUGCAUGGUGGGGGUUGGAAAGUUUCGGCGGUUGGGGAUGGACUCGCAGGUUAUCAGCUUGUUGGUGGGGUAGUGGCUUACGAAGGCUUUGACGGGUAGCCGGCAUGAGAGGGUGACCGGCCACAUUGGUACUGAGAGAGGGCCCAGAAGGCAACGGGAGGCAGCAGUGGGGAAUAUUGCGCAAUGGGCGGAAGCCUGAUGCAGCAACGCCGGGUGCGGGAUGACGGCCUACGGGGUGUAAACCGCUUUCGCCUGUGAUGAAGCGUGAGUGACGGUAAUGGGUAAAGAAGCACCGGCUAACUACGUG